rnacentral:rRNA from 1 species
UACGUAGGUGGCAAGCGUUGUCCGGAAUUAUUGGGCGUAAAGCGCGCGCAGGCGGCCUCUUAAGUCUGAUGUGAAAGCCCCCCGGCUCAACCGGGGGAGGGCCAUUGGAAACUGGGAGGCUUGAGUAUAGGAGAGAAGAGUGGAAUUCCACGUGUAGCGGUGGAAAAUGCGUUAGAGAUGUGGGAGGGAACACCAGUGGCGAAGGCGACUCUUUGGGCCUAUAACUGACGCUGAGGGCGCGAAAGCGUGGGGAGCAAACAGG